rnacentral:rRNA from 1 species
AUGAACGCUGGCGGCGUGCCUAAUGCAUGCCAGUCGAGCGAACAGACGAGGAGCUUGCUCCUCUGACGUUAGCGGCGGACGGGUGAGUAACACGUGGAUAACCUACCUAUAAGACUGGGAUAACUUCGGGAAACCGGAGCUAAUACCGGAUAAUAUAUUGAACCGCAUGGUUCAAUAGUGAAAGACGGUUUUGCUGUCACUUAUAGAUGGAUCCGCGCCGCAUUAGCUAGUUGGUAAGGUAACGGCUUACCAAGGCAACGAUGCGUAGCCGACCUGAGAGGGUGAUCGGCCACACUGGAACUGAGACACGGUCCAGACUCCUACGGGAGGCAGCAGUAGGGAAUCUUCCGCAAUGGGCGAAAGCCUGACGGAGCAACGCCGCGUGAGUGAUGAAGGUCUUCGGAUCGUAAAACUCUGUUAUUAGGGAAGAACAAAUGUGUAAGUAACUAUGCACGUCUUGACGGUACCUAAUCAGAAAGCCACGGCUAACUACGUG